GCGGAGCAGAAUAAGUGCUAACCAAUUGAUUUCAUUGACUUAGUUCCGGGACUCAAAAUCCCGCGCUGUAAGGCGUGCCGGUUCGAUUCCGGCUCUCGGCACCA
rnacentral:tRNA from 1 species